AUUGAACGCUGGCGGCAUGCCUUACACAUGCAAGUCGAACGGCAGCACGGGAGCAAUCCUGGUGGCGAGUGGCGAACGGGUGAGUAAAGUAUCGGAACGUGCCCAGUCGUGGGGGAUAACGUAGCGAAAGUUACGCUAAUACCGCAUACGAUCUAUGGAUGAAAGCGGGGGAUCGCAAGACCUCGCGCGAUUGGAGCGGCCGAUAUCAGAUCAGGUAGUUGGUGGGGUAAAGGCUCACCAAGCCGACGAUCUGUAGCUGGUCUGAGAGGACGGCCAGCCACACUGGGACUGAGACACGGCCCAGACUCCUACGGGAGGCAGCAGUGGGGAAUUUUGGACAAUGGGCGAAAGCCUGAUCCAGCCAUGCCGCGUGCAGGAUGAAGGCCUUCGGGUUGUAAACUGCUUUUGUACGGAACGAAAAGGUUUGGCCUAAUAAGCUGAGCUCAUAACGGUACCGUAAGAAUAAGCACCGGCUAACUACGUGCCAGCAGCCGCGGUAA
rnacentral:rRNA from 1 species